CCCAAAACUAUUUGAAUAUUUGAUUGCUGAGAAAUAUAAGUUUCAACUACAUGAGGAACACAUUUAUUAAUUAGUCUGAUUUACCUGAAUAAUAAUAAUUUAUAACAUUUUCAUAGAAAACUCUCAUGAUACUCAUGGAAAUACAAGUAUAAUAUCAAAUGCCUUAUAAAGGAUAACAUGGUGAUAUAGUAAUGCAGCCGACUAUCAAAUAAGAUCAAACCUGUAGUAAUCUAAAUACACCAAUUAUUUGUCAAGUUGGCAUGUUAUUGUGGAUUCAUCAUUUUUCGUUAAAUACCAAUUUUCAUCGAUUUCGUGGUUACAGGCUAGGUGAACUACGAAUUUAAAUGUUCACAGAAUAACACAUUUUCCAUAGACUUGUUUACAGACAUUAGCAAAACCACAAAAUUAAAUAUCCACAAACAUGCAAGUUUUCCUCAAUCCACGAAAAUUGGUACCCACGAAAAUAAAUGAAUCCAGUAUCAAACCACUUUUCCAACAAACAAAAACAUUGUUUCAGUAACAUUUACCUUCACCUUAAAAUCAAUAUUAUUAGUGUUCCAUUUACCUAAAUAAGUGUUAUUCAAAUUAAGCAAGAACUGCACAAAUUACCAUCUGAAAAUCACUUUCCAAUUUUAUUCUAUAUUUUAUAAUAGUGACCUUGACUCUGAACUAUCGACCUCAAAAUCAUAAUAUUUCAAUCCUUCAGAGUUUAUGAUUAUGAUAGUCAGCUGUAUUUGAUAUAACAAAAAAUAAUAUAUUUGUACAACAGUACAAUCUUGACUACAACUACAAUACAACCUAUAAUGUAUACAUAUUAAUAUUCAAACCUAAAAUUCCUACUAUAAAUAUAAUUACUUUAAAACUUUGACAACAUUGCUGAUAAUGUUCAACAAAAUGCAUCACAUUUACCUGAAAAUUGGGAUUCAACAACAAAAAAUGAGCAGAUAAAAAAAAAUAUUUACAUAUAAAUUUAUUACAUAAAGAACAUAGAAACAAUUUAAUUGAGUGUAGUUAAAAGCAGCAUCAAAAGUUAGAUCAACUAUUUCAAAUUUUUAAAAAAUUGUCCUCAAUGUGGUAAAUUUUAUUAAGAAUUAUCUAAAAACAUACUGGUGUUAAAUACAAAAUGCACCCAAUGAAAAUAAACUUAAUCAAAAGUAAAAGUGAUACUGCAAAUAAAUUGAUAAUCACAUUUAUGGCUUAUGUCAGUACGUUAUUUUAUGUCCUCAACUCCUCAUCUUAAGGUUACAUUCCAGUUCCCUGUACUUCACAGGGUCAUUGUACAUACAAAAUAGUAGUCCAUAUUGAGUACCUGCUUUAAUUAACAGACAUUUUCCAUGAACAAUCAGUGUUGUAAAAUUUCUUACUAUCAGCAAACAGGAAGUGGCUGCAUAACAGAUGUGAAAGUAGCUUACAUGCUGCAUCUCAACAUUUAUAUAAAGUUGCAAACCAAAAAUAAAAUCAUUCCCUCUCAACUAGAGUUUUUACCCAGGAUCUUCUUGUCAGAUGGAUGGACAUCUAGAAUUGGUCCCUAGGCUACCUUUCAUAUUCACAACACUGGUAAAAUACUAUUUGAACAAUACAAAACAAUAAAAGCAUGAGGGGGACUACACAUUGAAUUUAAAAUGCCAAUGCUACUACAUACUAAAAUACAUUAGCCUAUCAUAAGUAUUCAUCUUUAUAUGCUCCUAAUAAAAAACAUAACCUUAGGUGCUAACAAAAAUCUGCAAAAGUAACACCUAUGCCUGCCUUGCAAUAUUUGUCAACUUGAGAUAAACUCAAGUAAUAAUUUGCAUAAAAAUGUUCUUAGCAUACUAUAGUCUUUAAAAAUGUUUCAUAGAAUAAAAGAUUAAAUAAAAAAAUUCACAUUGCAGAGUAUUAUAUUUUGAACAGUAAUAACCAAUCAAAUUAUGAUAAUCCAUAUAUAAUCCUAUGAAUAACUUAAAUAUUCAACUGGAAAAGAAUGUAUAACUGCUGAAACCCGUUCUCAUCCGACCCUAAUUAAAAUUAUUAUCAAACUUAACAACAUAAAUCAUGAAGGCUGAUUUUAAAUGAAAACAAAAAGCAUUCACCAGUUAAAUUUCUGUCC
rnacentral:lncRNA from 1 species